rnacentral:lncRNA from 1 species
GGGAGUGUAUGUGAAUGAAUGCAAUAUUAUAUAUAUUUGUUAUAUAAUAAUUAUUUUUUGCCAAGGUUGUAGUUUUUAGGAAACAGGUUGUGAACUAUCAUCUCCAAGUAGGAUUAUUUUUUUAUUUUUUUAUUUUUUGAAUUCUUGUAAGCCGAAAAUGAACAUAAGACAUAAAAUUGAUUUUUCUAAAAAAGAGUCCAUGACGAGGUGAUGAUGAAGCAGUGGCAGUCGAAGACACAAGGAAUGUCUUGUGAUGGAAAACUAUGUAAUUUUU